UACGUAGGGGCCUAGCGUUGUCCGGAAUUAUUGGGCGUAAAGAGCUCGUAGGCGGUCUGUUGCGUCGGUUGUGAAAACCUGGGGCUCAACUCCAGGCCUGCAAUCGAUACGGGCAGACUAGAGUUCGGUAGGGGAGACUGGAAUUCCUGGUGUAGCGGUGAAAUGCGCAGAUAUCAGGAGGAACACCGGUGGCGAAGGCGGGUCUCUGGGCCGAAACUGACGCUGAGGAGCGAAAGCGUGGGGAGCGAACAGG
rnacentral:rRNA from 1 species